AGCGAACGCUGGCGGCAGGCCUAACACAUGCAAGUCGAGCGGGCACCGCAAGGUGUCAGCGGCAGACGGGAGAGUAACACGUGGGAACGUGCCCUUCGGUCCGGAAUAACUCGGGGAAACCCGUGCAAAUACCGGAUACGCCCUUACGGGGAAAGAUUUAUCGCCGAUGGAGCGGCCCGCGUCUGAUUAGCUAGUUGGUGAGGUAAUGGCUCACCAAGGCGACGAUCAGUAGCUGGUCUGAGAGGAUGAUCAGCCUCACUGGGACUGAGACACGGCCCAGACUCCUACGGGAGGCAGCAGUGGGGAAUAUUGGACAAUGGGCGCAAGCUUGAUCCAGCCAUGCCGCGUGGAUGAUGAAGGCCUUAGGGUUGUAAAGUCCUUUUAACGGGGAAGAUAAUGACGGUACCCGUAGAAUAAGCCCCGGCUAACUUCGUGCCAGCCGCCGCAGUAA
rnacentral:rRNA from 1 species